UCCACCUGAGGCACAAACAAUAGUUUAAGAAUUUGAUGAAAGAAAGGGAGACUUUUGUUCAGUAAAUCUACCCUGCUUUGCAUUUAAAGCUGAGUGAUAUGGACACAUCUGAUAGUCUAUUUUAUAAAAUUAAACGUUUCAUAGCCGGGGGAGCUGGGCAAUAUUGCGAGAAAAGACUCAGGAUUUCCAAGAAUAAAGUAGUACAUUUUUGCAAUAAAAAAAGGUUUUGAGUUUUUCUUGUUAAUUUUCCACUUUAAUCUCAGAGUAUUAACCCCUCCCCGGCAACCCUAAUAAUCUGUUGUAUACCACGUCUAAAUCAUUUUCUGAUUUAUCUCUAAAAACUUCUAAAAUGUUCCAUCACAUUUGGAUUUUGUGAAAUAAACUAUUGCGGACAGAUUUUGGUAAAAAACAUUCUCUUAUAAUAUGAUCACAGCAUAUAGAGACACCAUAAUAUAGCCAUUUGUCCAACCCAGAAAAGUGUUCUGAAUCACUUUAUGAUUAACGUAUUGAAGACUUUUCUGAAGUUCGCCUCACCUCCUUCUCUGCUCCUAUCCUCUUGGUGUAUGCAGCUUCUUUGUAGCACUGCAUGCAGACGGCGUUGAGCUUCACUACACUCUCCGCUAGAGGGACGAGGUUCAGGAUGUUUCCAAAUGGCUACAAGAAUGCACAGGACAGGAGAUAAGCAGUGAGAACCACUGAAUGGAGACAGAGGUGCUCUAUCUGCCCCUGCAGCAUCCACACAGUGUCCGAUUGCCAGAAUCACAUCGACAUGCAGAGACGGAAAACAAAUAUCUCACCUUUCUCUGGAAGGUUCCAUCCAAAGCAGCUACAAUGAUCGUCUUUCCUAAAUUGGCCAUCUCUUCACAAAACUCCACAGUGUCUGGAAACUACAGUAACAAAAGUGCAGAGUUGGUUAGUCAGGAAUUUGUCCCAAGUAAGACGUAGUGGUUUCUAUGGAGGUUAACAAUAACUAGCUUAGGACAAAGAAGAGGAAAAUAUAAAGCAUAUAUACUUACAAACUGUCCUUCGUCAAUUCCAAUAACACAGGCUUGUAAUGCAAGAGGCCGCAAGUCUCCCAGAAUACUGGCUGGUACAGCUUCCAUUGUGCAUCUAAAAGGUGGACGGGAUAGAGGAGAAAAAACCUAUACUUAAAAUGUUUCCAAAAAAGUGCAUUGCAAAACUAAAUGUAUCUGAUACUACUAAUACUUAUACUGCAAAUUACUUCCCGAUUUAUUCAGAGCUCUACCAAGAUAAUUAGACAGGCAAAUCUACACAUGCCAAGGAAUCUCACCACUAGAGGUCCACUUUUGCUCAGGGAUCAGGAUAGUGAAAGACACAGUAUUUUCUCCUGUCUGUCUUUUCAAAAGCAACUAAUGUAAUUAAUGAUUUCGUACAAAUUCAAAAUAAAGUUUACUCUUUUAAACAAAA